GAGUUUGAUCGUGGCUCAGAUUGAACGCUGGCGGCAUGCCUUACACAUGCAAGUCGAACGGCAGCAUGAUCUAGCUUGCUAGAUUGAUGGCGAGUGGCGAACGGGUGAGUAAUACAUCGGAACGUGCCCUGUAGUGGGGGAUAACUGGUCGAAAGAUUAGCUAAUACCGCAUACGACCUGAGGGUGAAAGUGGGGGACCGCAAGGCCUCAUGCUAUAGGAGCGGCCGAUGUCUGAUUAGCUAGUUGGUGGGGUAAAGGCCCACCAAGGCGACGAUCAGUAGCUGGUCUGAGAGGACGAUCAGCCACACUGGGACUGAGACACGGCCCAGACUCCUACGGGAGGCAGCAGUGAGGAAUUUUGGACAAUGGGCGAAAGCCUGAUCCAGCAAUGCCGCGUGUGUGAAGAAGGCCUGG
rnacentral:rRNA from 1 species